rnacentral:rRNA from 1 species
UACGUAGGGGGCUAGCGUUGUCCGGAAUCAUUGGGCGUAAAGAGCGCGUAGGCGGCUAGAUAAGUCCGGUGUGAAAGUCACAGGCUCAACCUGUGAAUGCCGCUGGAAACUGUCUGGCUAGAGUCCGGAAGGGGCGAGUGGAAUUCCUGGUGUAGCGGUGAAAUGCGCAGAUAUCAGGAGGAACACCGACGGCGAAGGCAGCUCGCUGGGACGGUACUGACGCUGAGGCGCGAAAGCGUGGGGAGCGAACAGG